rnacentral:pre_miRNA from 1 species
UUCCAAUUUUUCUCGCAGAAAAUCGCAUUUUUUAGCUGAAAUUUCGAAAUUUUUGCUAAAAAAUGCGAUUUUCUGCGAGAAAAUUGGA